UUGUAUACGUGUUUCUGUGGCUGACAGGAAGUCACCGGGAUGUGAGGAGAGGAUAACACUGGGGCCGUGGGUGGCUCAGUUCCCUCAGUUUAUGAAGGAAGAAGGGGAUUUUCCAUGGUCACACACAGGUGACGGAGCUCAGAUUAACCCAGGUACUACUAAUGUAGUCGCCUGAUGAGGUUCAGGAGAGCGAAGAUGAGGUGCAAAGAUUGUGAAGGAUCACAAUGAGGAGUUCUCGCUGCCAAAAGAGUCAUUGGUCUGAUGCCCUUCCCAGAAUACAAUUGCAACUUUGGGAGCAUGUACAGUUUCCAGCAGCUUCACAAUCUCGGGGCAGUGCUUGAGAGGGAGUUCUUAGAAGUUAGCAAUCCUUCUAUUCAUAUUGUACCACGGGCAUGAAAGAUAUGGGAGGCAUAUUUAAAAUCAAUAUAAAUAUUGAGCCUUGUCCCUUCCUCCAGAGGAGGGCUCUUAUGAGAGCUACCAGUUCUGCCUUCUGAGCAGAAGUGCCUUGGGGCAAAGCCUGUGCUUCUAGAGUAUGGUGAAGACCAACCACAGCAUAUUCUGCCUUCCCAACUCCUUCCUUUGUGAAGCUAGAGCUAUGUGUGAAUCCUCAUCAGGAUUUUCCAGAGGAUCCUCCUUCAAAUCGGGGCAGCUGCAGUAAACUGAGUCUGUGAUCGCCUCACACUCAUGUUCUCAUGAGUCUGUCAUUGGAUUUUCUAGGAGCAGUGUGGCAGGACUUAAGAGUCACUUCAGUUGUGUCUAUCAGUAAGGCUUGAUAUUUAGUAAGCUUGCGCUCAGAGAGCCAGUGGUAACCCCUAGUUUUCAAAAUAUUUUUGUCCUCCAAGGUAUGGACACAAUCAAGGGCUGACCCUUAAUCCCUUACAUGUUAGUAAUAGAAGAUUCCACAAGGCAUUCUGGGGGCCACUGAGUCUUAUAAUGGUUUUGUUAGCUCUUGUAUCUAUAAGGCCCUCACACCAACUUCCUUCUAACUUUAUCCUGAAUGGGAGAUAUUUCUAUUGAACCCCUCUAAUCCAAUAAACAUGGGAUUCCUCUUCUCGUUCAAGGCUGCAAGUGUUUUCCCCACUGAGCAUCCGUAUCAUGAAAAGAAUGACAGCAAAGUCUCUGACAGACACCGUGGUCCCUGAUUCCAUAAUGGUGUGCAUUGAUAAUAUGGCAAGUUUCCUCUGCAGUGUAUACUGUGGACAACAUAGCAAAACCUGAAAAUUAAGUGGCAGAAGGAGAAAGGAUGGCAGCAACAGUAUCCUGAUGCAAUGGGGGUCUUUGCUGUAUCUAGACAGAAGCAGUGGGAUAUGCCAUACUCAUGGGAAGCUUUUGAUGGAACAGUAACUAUGGAGUAUACUAUUUCUGACUGACAUGAGAGGUGAGAGUAAUGACAUGAUUGCGGUCCUUAUUGUUUUUCUGGAGGCUGAGGCAGGCCCCCCUUUCCUGUUUCCCAGCAGGCAGUCUGCAGCUCGAUGAAAGCCCUUACCACAGCUGGGACAAGGCCCCCCGGAGGUUUUCUCUUCUUUGAACUGGCCCAACAUUGAACCUUAUGAUGUCCUGCCCUGUCCAUUUUUUUUUUCCUCUUUGGAUGCCCCAGUUAUAUCUAAGGCUGUUAAUUUCUGCCAUGAGAUCUACAUGAAAAGCUUGUGUUCCUACCUAAA